rnacentral:lncRNA from 1 species
CCACAUGAUACAAUAAUGGAUAAACUUUCUGCUGGAUGAAAGGAAGCUAGGAGGUGUUGGAGUCUCUUAUAGAGUUACAAAGUGUAUUAGAAUGAAAAAAAAUAAGCUGGAGUCUCUUAUAAAGUUACCUAGUGUAUUAGAAUGAAAAAAACUAAGUUGUAUAUAGAUAUAAUUUAUGUUUGUCUGUAUUGUAUUGACCAUUCCAAUGUUACCAAUUGUGUGAUUCUUGAUUUUAUAAGGAUUUAAUUUACUAAUAUGUUUAGUUAU